AUUGAACGCUGGCGGCAUGCCUUACACAUGCAAGUCGAACGGCAGCACGGAGCUUGCUCUGGUGGCGAGUGGCGAACGGGUGAGUAAUAUAUCGGAACGUACCCUAGAGUGGGGGAUAACGUAGCGAAAGUUACGCUAAUACCGCAUACGAUCUAAGGAUGAAAGUGGGGGAUCGCAAGACCUCAUGCUCGUGGAGCGGCCGAUAUCUGAUUAGCUAGUUGGUAGGGUAAAAGCCUACCAAGGCAUCGAUCAGUAGCUGGUCUGAGAGGACGACCAGCCACACUGGAACUGAGACACGGUCCAGACUCCUACGGGAGGCAGCAGUGGGGAAUUUUGGACAAUGGGCGAAAGCCUGAUCCAGCAAUGCCGCGUGAGUGAAGAAGGCCUUCGGGUUGUAAAGCUCUUUUGUCAGGGAAGAAACGGUGAAAGCUAAUAUCUUUUGCUAAUGACGGUACCUGAAGAAUAAGCACCGGCUAACUACGUGCCAGCAGCCGCGGUAAUACGUAGGGUGCAAGCGUUAAUCGGAAUUACUGGGCGUAAAGCGUGCGCAGGCGGUUUUGUAAGUCUGAUGUGAAAUCCCCGGGCUCAACCUGGGAAUUGCAUUGGAGACUGCAAGGCUAGAAUCUGGCAGAGGGGGGUAGAAUUCCACGUGUAGCAGUGAAAUGCGUAGAUAUGUGGAGGAACACCGAUGGCGAAGGCAGCCCCCUGGGUCAAGAUUGACGCUCAUGCACGAAAGCGUGGGGAGCAAACAGGAUUAGAUACCCUGGUAGUCCACGCCCUAAACGAUGUCUACUAGUUGUCGGGUCUUAAUUGACUUGGUAACGCAGCUAACGCGUGAAGUAGACCGCCUGGGGAGUACGGUCGCAAGAUUAAAACUCAAAGGAAUUGACGGGGACCCGCACAAGCGGUGGAUGAUGUGGAUUAAUUCGAUGCAACGCGAAAAACCUUACCUACCCUUGACAUGGCUGGAAUCCUUGAGAGAUCAGGGAGUGCUCGAAAGAGAACCAGUACACAGGUGCUGCAUGGCUGUCGUCAGCUCGUGUCGUGAGAUGUUGGGUUAAGUCCCGCAACGAGCGCAACCCUUGUCAUUAGUUGCUACGAAAGGGCACUCUAAUGAGACUGCCGGUGACAAACCGGAGGAAGGUGGGGAUGACGUCAAGUCCUCAUGGCCCUUAUGGGUAGGGCUUCACACGUCAUACAAUGGUACAUACAGAGCGCCGCCAACCCGCGAGGGGGAGCUAAUCGCAGAAAGUGUAUCGUAGUCCGGAUUGUAGUCUGCAACUCGACUGCAUGAAGUUGGAAUCGCUAGUAAUCGCGGAUCAGCAUGUCGCGGUGAAUACGUUCCCGGGUCU
rnacentral:rRNA from 1 species